AAUCAACGCUGGCGGCGUGCCUCAGACAUGCAAGUCGAACGAUUAAAGCUCUCUUCGGAGAGUGCAUAAAGUGGCGCACGGGUGAGUAACACGUAAGUAAUCUACCUUCGAGUGGGGAAUAACGUCCGGAACGGACGCUAAUACCGCAUAACGCAGCGGCAUCGCAAGAUGACAGUUGUUAAAGAUUUAUCGCUUGAAGAGGAGCUUGCGGCAGAUAGCUUGUUGGUAAGGUAACGGCUUACCAAGGCUACGAUCUGUAUCCGGUCUAAGAGGACGGUCGGACACACUGACACUGAAUAACGGGUCAGACUCCUACGGGAGGCAGCAGUCGGGAAUUUUGGGCAAAUGGGGGGAAACCCUCGACCCAGCAACGCCGCGUGAAGGAUGAAGUA
rnacentral:rRNA from 1 species